rnacentral:misc_RNA from 1 species
AAAGUUUCUUAUGUGAUUUCGAAGACUUUCUUCUUUUAUGUUUAAUCAUGAUAUAAUACGUUUUGUACGAUGUCUUUUUUUUUUCAAAGAUAUAACCCGCAUUAUGUGUAUAUUGUACCUUAAUGGUUUGAUAAAGACGGGCGCAGAAAUUUCAUUUGUUUUGUCUUCUGCCUACCCCCGUUGGGAAAAAAAAAUGAUAUUAUUGUUAUGUAUUAUAUGCAGUUUGGUUUGCUUUGUCAGGGUGAUCGUUACAAAAGUAUUACAAGAUUUUGUCACUAGAAUGAAUAACAACAGCUGCUUCUCGUUUUUAGCGUUUGACACCCUGAUUGUAUUCAAUGUUCAUUUAGUACUUCUCUUGUUCAUAAAUUUGCUGGUCAGUAUCAUAUGAAAAAGAGCUUUGGUGACCUUGACGGUUGUGAGUGAUAGUUUUUAAGUGGCGGAUCCAAAACUGUGAGAGUGUUAAUGUAUAUUAACCUAUUUUCCAUAAACCCCUUUAAACGUAAAAAUGUAUUAUAAUUUGUGAUACGUGUGAAUUUUUUCUGUGUAGAUGAGUGUACAAAAGUAUGAGCUUGUCCCCUCAGUUAUAUAAAUGUAUAUAUAGCUGACUUUAAAGUCAAAAAAAAUAUAUAGGGCAUUUAUAAUUUGUUUUAUUGUACUUGUGUUAUAAUAAAAUCAUAAAAAUACAUGAACUUUUAAAACACAUUUAUCAAUGUGAAAGUAUCAUAUGAACGAUGUGUUACGCACAAUGUGAAGGACCCAGGAGCAUUAUGGGGCGGAUCCAGGGGUGUCAAUUUUAUUAUUUUUUUUUAUUUCAAUCUGACUCUUUAGAUACGAUUAUAUUAUAGAAUUUUUAUCAAAUCUGGAUAAUGGGUCCGCCCAUGUUUGCUUUUUAAUGAAAUAGAUAUUUUUUACUGAUUUUUUAUUGUUCUUCACAAGUGAGUGUCACUUUUUCCAAGGUUUUUAAAUGUAACAAUCCUGAUUCCAGCUGGAUCUUGCUGAUAUGUGGACGAGUGUAGAAAGAACAGGUUUUUAAAAGGUUAAAAGGAAUAGAAAAUGUUUUUGACUUUGACGCCAUAAAUGUGCACUCUGUAAGAUAGAGAUACAUGGGUGAUGAAAUGAAUAGGUCGAACUCUAGUUUCUGUGUUUUGUAUAAUAUGAUGUCACUUUGUGAUGCAAUUUCAACUUGUUUAUUGUGUACAUCAUAUCUGUUGCCAUAUAUAUUAAAAGUUCUAC